AUCGAUGAAGAACGCAGCGAAAUGCGAUAAGUAAUGUGAAUUGCAGAAUUCAGUGAAUCAUCGAAUCUUUGAACGCACAUUGCGCCCGCCAGUAUUCUGGCGGGCAUGCCUGCUCGAGCGUCAUUUCAACCCUCAAGUCCCCUGUGGACUCGGUGUUGGGGACCGGCGAGACAGCCGCGGAUCUUCUUCCGCAGCGAGUCGCCGCCCCCCAAAUGACUUGGCGGCCUCGUCGCGGCCCUCCUCUGCGUAGUAUAGCACACCUCGCAACAGGAGCCCGGCGGAUGGCCACUGCCGUAAAACCCCCCAACUUUUUCAGAGUUGACCUCGAAUCAGGUAGGAAUACCCGCUGAACUUAAGCAUAUCAAUAAGCGGAGGAAAAGAAACCAACAGGGAUUGCCCCAGUAACGGCGAGUGAAGCGGCAACAGCUCAAAUUUGAAAUCUGGCCCCCAGGGUCCGAGUUGUAAUUUGCAGAGGAUGCUUUUGGCAAGGUGCCUUCCGAGUUCCCUGGAACGGGACGCCAUAGAGGGUGAGAGCCCCGUCUGGUUGGAUACCGAGCCUCUGUAAAGCUCCUUCGACGAGUCGAGUAGUUUGGGAAUGCUGCUCUAAAUGGGAGGUAUAUGUCUUCUAAAGCUAAAUAUUGGCCAGAGACCGAUAGCGCACAAGUAGAGUGAUCGAAAGAUGAAAAGCACUUUGAAAAGAGGGUUAAAUAGUACGUGAAAUUGUUGAAAGGGAAGCGCUCAUGACCAGACUUGGGCCCGGUGAAUCAUCCAGCGCUCGUUGCUGGUGCACUUUGCCGGGCUCAGGCCAGCAUCAGUUCGCUCCGGGGGACAAAGGCUCUGGGAAUGUGGCUCCUCCGGGAGUGUUAUAGCCCACUGCGCAAUACCCUGGGGCGGACUGAGGUUCGCGCAUUCGUGCAAGGAUGCUGGCGUAAUGGUCAUCAGUGACCCGUCUUGAAACACGG
rnacentral:rRNA from 1 species